CUCUGAACGCUGCCGGAUCAAAGAAGAAGGUUUCUGGAUCUCAUCAGAGGAAAAAAGCAACUCAAGACUUCACCAAGAGCAGUAACGGAGCUCAGUGGAAAUCCAACAACGUGCACUGAAGCUGAAACCUAAAAACCGGCUGCAGUUUAAAGUCAGAAGUAAAAACAGGUUGUUUUGUUUUGUU